rnacentral:rRNA from 1 species
AUACGUAGGGGGCUAGCGUUAUCCGGAUUUACUGGGCGUAAAGGGUGCGUAGGUGGUUUCUUAAGUCAGAUGUAAAAGGCACAGGCUCAACUUGUGUUAGCAUUUGAAACUGUGCGACUUGAGUGCAGGAGAGGUAAGUGGAAUUCCUAGUGUAGCGGUGAAAUGCGUAGAUAUUAGGAGGAACACCAGUGGCGAAGGCGACUUACUGGACUGUAACUGACGCUGAGUCACGAAAGCGUGGGUAGC